UUUUCUACAUUUUUAACAAUCUUCAAGAACUUAAUACAUUCCUCAAGGGGAACAAAAGGCUUAGACUAGAGGAGAUAGACCCAAGAGUGUUUUAAAGUACCAUAGGAGGGCUUCAGAAAACCUGGCAUCCUAUGUCUCCUACCUCUCCGCAUCUCUGGGAUGGCACAGUGAUGUUCCUGCCACCUCUGCUGGAUGAUGGCAUCUGCAGCCCACCGCUGUUCUGUCUAAGCGAGUGUGCCAGAAGGCUUGGAGGACCGCAGCUGCCCGUGCAGGGCAAAAGCAUCCUCUGGGUAGCUAAAGCUCGGACUUCUUUCUAAGCAAGGAAUGAGCUGCAAGCCAGGAGACAAGCCUGAGGCCAAGAAGUCACCAGGGAUGGCAGAAUGUUCUGAAGGACUGGAGGUGGCCAGGGCUGAGGGCAAGGCCUCGAAGGAAGCAACGGGCAAGUAAAAGAACCCGGAGCCUGUGAUACAGAUGAAGCAACUAUAAAGCAUCAGACCU